GGGGCUAUGGCUCAGGGUACAGCAUCUGCUUGGAAUGCAAAAGGUCCCAGGUUCAAUCAUUGGUAUUUCUA
rnacentral:tRNA from 1 species